UACGUAGGGUGCGAGCGUUAAUCGGAAUUACUGGGCGUAAAGCGUGCGUAGGCGGUUCUCCAAGUCCGUUGUGAAAGCCCCGGGCUCAACCUGGGAAUGGCAGUGGAAACUAGGGGACUGGAAUCUGGCAGAGGGGGGUGGAAUGCCGCGUGUAGCAGUGAAAUGCGUAGAUAUCGGGAGGAACACCUGUGGCGAAAGCGGCUCACUGGACCACAACUGACGCUGAGGCGCGAAAGCUAGGGGAGCAAACAGG
rnacentral:rRNA from 1 species